GAUGAACGCUGGCGGCGUGCCUAAUACAUGCAAGUCGAGCGAACAGAUGAGUAGCUUGCUCCUCUGACGUUAGCGGCGGACGGGUGAGUAACACGUGGAUAACCUACCUAUAAGACUGGGAUAACUUCGGGAAACCGGAGCUAAUACCGGAUAAUAUAUUGAACCGCAUGGUUCAAUAGUGAAAGACGGUUUUGCUGUCACUUAUAGAUGGAUCCGCGCCGCAUUAGCUAGUUGGUAAGGUAACGGCUUACCAAGGCAACGAUGCGUAGCCGACCUGAGAGGGUGAUCGGCCACCAUGGAACUGAGACACGGUCCAGACUCCUACGAGAGGCAGCAGUAGGGAAUCUUACGCAAUGGGCGAAAGCCUGACGGAGCAACGACGCGUGAGUGAUGAAGGUCUUCGGAGCGUAAAACUCUGUUAUUAGGGAAGAACAAAUGUGUAAGUAACUAUGCACGUCUUGACGGUACCUAAUCAGAAAGCCACGGCUAACUACGUG
rnacentral:rRNA from 1 species